rnacentral:rRNA from 1 species
UGAAUACGAGACGCUAAGGCGUCGAAGUAGUGUAUGUCAUACUUCCAAGAAAAGCUUGCACUGUCAUAGAUAAAAAACGCCUGUACCAUAACCGACACAGGUGGGUAGGUAGAGUAUACUAAGGGGCGCGAGAUAACUCUCUCUAAGGAACUCGGCAAAAUAACUCCGUAACUUCGGGAGAAGGAGUGCCUUAUUCGUAAGGUUGCAAUAACAAGAUCCAAGCAACUGUUUAUCAAAAACACAGGUCUCCGCUAAGUCGUAAGACGAUGUAUGGGGGCUGACGCCUGCCCAGUGCCAGAAGGUUAAAGAAGUUGGUUAGCAAUUGCGAAGCUGAUAACUGAAGCCCUGGUGAACGGCGGCCGUAACAAUAACGGUCCUAAGGUAGCGAAAUUCCUUGUCGGGUAAGUUCCGACCCGCACGAAAGGCGUAAUGAUUUGGAUACUGUCUCGGAGAGGGGCUCGGUGAAAUAGACUUGUCUGUGAAGAUGCGGACUACCUGCACCAGGACAGAAAGACCCUAUGAAGCUUUACUGUAACUUGAAAUUGAAAUUGGACUUUAUUCGCGCAGUACAGGUGGGAGGCGUUGAUUAUAAUCUUGUGGGAUUAUUGGAGCCAUCAGUGAGAUACCACUCUUGUAAUGUUAGAUUUCUAACUUUGUAUCAUUAUCUGGUCAAAGAACAGUUUCAGGCGGGCAGUUUGACUGGGGCGGUCGCCUCCUAAACGGUAACGGAGGCGUACAAAGGUUUCCUCUGAACGGUUAGAAAUCGUAUCUAGAGUGUAAAGGCAUAAGGAAGCUUGACUGUGAGACCUACAAGUCGAGCAGGGACGAAAGUCGGUCUUAGUGAUCUGACGGUACUGAGUGGAAAGGCCGUCACUCAACGGAUAAAAGUUACUCUAAGGAUAACAGGCUGAUCUCCCCCAAGAGUUCACAUCGACGGGGAGGUUUGGCACCUCGAUGUCGGCUCAUCGCAUCCUGGGGCGGUAGUACGUCCCAAGGGUUGGGCUGUUCGCCCAUGAAAGCGGUACGCGAGCUGGGUUCAGAACGUCGUGAGACAGUUCGGUCCAUAUCCGGUGUAGGCGUUAGAAUAUUGAGAGGAGCCUUCUUUAGUACGAGAGGACCGAGAAGGACAUACCUCUGGUGUACCAGUUAUCGUGCCAACGGUAAACGCUGGGUAGCUAUGUAUGGAGUGGAUAACCGCUGAAAGCAUCUAAGUGGGAAGCCCACCUCAAGAUAAGUAUUCUCAU